rnacentral:lncRNA from 1 species
UAUCAAUUCCUGUAAAUGGGAUUUCCUUUUCUUUCUUUUUGAGCACAUAUUAUUCUCUUUAAUUUCUGUCUCCCAAUUCACUAAAAUUAUCUCCACCAUAAAACCCAAAAAUAUGUUACAACUGAUCUUGGUUCCUGUCUUCAGACUAAGAAUAAAAGAUUUGAUUUCACUUCUUCUCUCUCAGACGUCCUUUUCUCUCUGAUAUCUUCUCUCUCCUUUUCUCUCUGAUUUUACGAGCCGUGGUCUCCGUCCUCUUCCUCGGACGGCUAGGAAGCCUCGAGCUAGCCGGCGGCGUCAUUCAGGGAGGAGGGAGAGAACAGAGGUUUGGCGGCGUCUUAGAGAACAGAGGGUGGAGUCAGAGGGUGGGGGCGUCAUUCAGGGAGGAGGGAGAGAGAGAUCUCAGAUGUUUUGAUGGUGGGUUUGGAUCUGGGUUUCGUUCCAGAUCUGGAUGGUUCGUCUUUGCUUAUGUUCAGAUUCGGUGGGUUUCGUUCCAGAUCUAGCAUUUUGUUUUAUUGAUUAUCUUUGCUUAUGUUCAGAUUCGGUGGGUUUGUAUUGAUGUUUGUAUUUCCGAUCUGGUCUCAUGGUGUAGUUCUUGCUUAUCUAUGUUGCAUGAUCAGAUUUGGGUGAUGGUGUUGUUAUUUGAGGUUUCAUGUGGCGCUGGAGUUUUAACCGGAACCAUGGUCCGGUGGUGGCUUCGCCGGAGCUAAGGGGUUGAUAAUAAUAAUAAUAAUAAUAAUAAUUUUUACAAAUGUAUUUAUAUAAAAUUACUGAAUUUAUAUUAUUAUUUAAUAAUAAUAAUUUUUAAAUAAUAAUAAUAAUUUUUACAAAUGUAUUUAUAUAAAAUUAAUGAAUUUAUAUUAUUAUUAAAAAAUUAUUAUUAUUUUGAAAUUAUUAAUAUUUUUAUUAUUAUUAUUAUUAUUAUUAUUAAUACACAUGGCAAAGCAUAUAUAUACACAUCAACAAUUCAAAAUUAUGUGUAUGCACAGUCAACACUUCCGUUCGUUUUUUGGACGAAAAUCGUAAGGAAUGACUAUUUGGUAAGUUUUUUAGAAUAUAGUUACGCGAUUGUAAUAAAAAAAAGUUUCGGUAAUCACAAUGAAAAUCGAAUUUCAG